UAUGAUUGAAAUUUAAAUACCUAUUAUAAUACUUGUUCUGUUUCAAAUUUAAUACUGGAGUAAAGUGCUGGUUAAAUUCGAGCUAACUCUCUUAACUGAAACAAAGUGACUGAUCUUAAUUUAAAUAACACGUAUUGAAAAAUACAGAAAGUAGAUAGGGACAAUUAGAAAAAAAUAGCAGCGUGAAACAAGGGACAAGAAAAUUAUCCAAUAUAUGUCAUGUUUUUUCGCUAUGUCGCACUGCGGAAAAUAAAAUAAGAAAAUAGCAUGAUUUGCGCGAACGAAACGAAUAGAAGCUCGCGAUUCGCAAGCAGAACUGCGACGAAAUGAAACAGAGAGAGAAAGAUAAAGACAGGCGAGAGAAAUACAUGUUGAAACGGCAGACAAUCAAUAAGAAAGAAUAAACUGAAAAUAAAAGAAAAAA